AGGACGAACGCUGGCGGCGUGCUUAACACAUGCAAGUCGAGCGGAAAGGCUCCUUCGUGGGUACUCGAGCGGCGAACGGGUGAGUAACACGUGAGUAAUCUGCCCUCCACUCUGGGGUAACGUUCAGAAAUGGGUGCUAAUACCGGAUGUUCACAGGUUCACGCAUGUGGGUUUGUGGAAAGGUUUUUCUGGUGGGGGAUGUGCUCGCGGCCUAUCAGCUUGUUGGUGGGGUAAUGGCCUACCAAGGCUUUGACGGGUAGCCGGCCUGAGAGGGUGACCGGCCACACUGGGACUGAGACACGGCCCAGACUCCUACGGGAGGCAGCAGUGGGGAAUAUUGCACAAUGGGCGAAAGCCUGAUGCAGCGACGCCGCGUGAGGGAUGAAGGCCUUCGGGUUGUAAACCUCUUUCAGCAGGGAAGAAGCGAAAGUGACGGUACCUGCAGAAGAAGCACCGGCUAACUACGUGACCAGCAGCCGC
rnacentral:rRNA from 1 species